UGAAAUUUCACAUGUGAAUUUGGAACAUGUGAUUUUUCACAUGUGAAAUUUCACAUGUGAAAUUUCACAUGUGAAAUUAUGUUUCACAUGUUCCAAAUUCACAUGUGAAACUUCA